rnacentral:rRNA from 1 species
GCAUAUCAAUAAGCGGAGGAAAAGAAACUAACAAGGAUUCCCCUAGUAACUGCGAGUGAAGCGGGAAAAGCUCAAUUUAAAAUCUGGCAGUCUUUGGCUGUCCGAGUUGUAGUCUGGAGAAGCGCUUUCCGCGCUGGACCGUGUACAAGUCUCCUGGAACGGAGCGUCAUAGAGGGUGAGAAUCCCGUCUUUGACACGGACUACCAGUGCUUUGUGAUGCGCUCUCAAAGAGUCGAGUUGUUUGGGAAUGCAGCUCAAAAUGGGUGGUAAACUCCAUCUAAAGCUAAAUAUUGGCGAGAGACCGAUAGCGAACAAGUACCGUGAGGGAAAGAUGAAAAGCACUUUGGAAAGAGAGUUAAACAGUACGUGAAAUUGCUGAAAGGGAAACGCUUGAAGUCAGUCGCGUUUGCUAGGACUCAGCCUUGCCUCGGCUUGGUGCAUUUCCUAGUAGACGGGCCAGCAUCACUUUUGGCUGCGGGAAAAAGGUCAGAGGAAUGUGGCACCUCCGGGUGUGUUAUAGCCUCUGGCUGUAUACCGUGGCUGGGAGUGAGGAACUCAGCACGCCUUCAUGGCGGGGCUUCGGCCACCUUCGUGCUUAGGAUGCUGGCGUAAUGGCUUUAAACGACCCGUCUUGAAACACGGACCAAGGAGUCUAACAUGCCUGCGAGUGUUUGGGUGGAAAACCCGAGCGCGUAAUGAAAGUGAAAGUUGGGACCUCUGUCGUGGAGGGCACCGACGCCCGGACCAGACCUUCUGUGACGGAUCCGCGGUAGAGCAUGUAUGUUGGGACCCGAAAGAUGGUGAACUAUGCCUGAAUAGGGUGAAGCCAGAGGAAACUCUGGUGGAGGCUCGUAGCAAUUCUGACGUGCAAAUCGAUCGUCAAAUUUGGGUAUAGGGGCGAAAGACUAAUCGAACCAUCUAGUAGCU